GCUGGGCAUGGUGGCUCAUGCUUGUAAUCCCAGCACUUUGGGAGGCCGAGUCGGGUGGAUCACCUGAGGUCAGGAGUUCGAGACCAGCCUGGCCAACAUGGUGAAACCCCGUCUCUU
ensembl:misc_RNA Metazoa_SRP Metazoan signal recognition particle RNA